UAGGGUGCGAGCGUUAAUCGGAAUUACUGGGCGUAAAGUGUGCGCAGGCGGCCGCGCAAGUCGAGUGUGAAAUCCCCGAGCUUAACUUGGGAAUUGCGCUCGAAACUACGUGGCUGGAGUGUGGCAGAGGAAGGUGGAAUUCCACGUGUAGCGGUGAAAUGCGUAGAGAUGUGGAGGAACACCGAUGGCGAAGGCAGCCUUCUGGGCCAACACUGACGCUCAUGCACGAAAGCGUGGGGAGCAAACAGG
rnacentral:rRNA from 1 species